CGUUGAUUACGUCCCUGCCCUUGAUAUACAAGGGGCAAAAAGUGGCCUUGAAAAAGGCUGCUAGUCGACGAUCCUCUCGCCGGCGACACUGUCAAAUUGCGGGAAACCCCUAAAGCUUUGAGUACCAAGUUGAAUUCGAAAGGAUUUAAUGGCCAGGGUAAUGACCUCGGGUAUGGUAAAAACCUCAAAGAUAUUACAAUGGAUAAUCCGCAGCCAAGUCCUAAAUCUU
rnacentral:rRNA from 1 species